rnacentral:lncRNA from 1 species
UUAGCCUUGGGGAAUUUUACUAUAAAAUUUCUCAAACAAGUGAUGUUCUUGCGUUCCCGGCUGGUUUAGUGUCGACUGUUGGACUUACUGGCCUUCUUGGUGGUGGAGGAUACGGUAUGAUGAAGAGAAAGUACGCGCUCGCUGCUGAUAAUACGUUGGAUGCACGUAUUAUGGAUUACAAUGGGAAAAUUCUCGACAGAAAAUCUAUGGGAGAAGAUCUGUUUUGGGCUAUUAGAGGUGGGGAUCCUGCUAGUUUUUGUGUUAUUCUCGAGUUGAAGUUACAGUUGGUUCCUGUCCCGAAACAAGUGACCUAUUUUGCAGUCCUGAGAACUCUGGAACAAAAUGGAUCAGCGCUAUUCCAAAAAUGGCAAUCCACAGCGGCCAAUGUGUUUCCAAGAGAUCUUGAUGUUAGAGUUGUGGUGGAUACUAUAACAAGCAACUCAAGUGCCCGCGAAGAUAAGAAAACAGUCAGAUUCAUCUUCCAGUCAUUGUAUCUUGGUAAAAUCGACACCUUACUUCCAAUUAUGCAAGAAUAUUUCCCUGAGUUAGGCUUGGUGAGAGAGGAUUGUGUCGAAACCAGUUGGAUCGGGACGGCGCCAAUGUUUUCAUUUUUUCCAGUAGGGACUGAUCCAAAAAUAUUACUCAACAAAACGGCCACCACAAGAAAUCCUGUCAAGAUAAAGUCGAGUUUCACGACGCAACCAAUUUCUUUGGAAGGACUCAAUGGUAUAUGGGACUUGUGGCUCAAGCAACCAGUACAAACCACGCUCAUUCAAUACACUCCAUUCGGUGGGAGAAUGAACGAGUUUGCAGAGUCUGCACUUCCAUUUCCCCAUCGUCCUGGUGUGUUGUACAUGAUCAACAUGGCCGUGACUGUGGCCCAAAAUGAGGAAGCAACUUUACAGUGGAUUAAUGAUCUGUUUAAAUACUACGCUCCAUAUGUGACCAAGAACCCUAGAACUUCAUACGUGAAUUACAGGGAUGCUGAUCUCGGAACAGGAAGCAAGACAUAUGAACAGGCAAGCAUAUGGGGGAGGAAGUAUUACAAGAAUAAUUUUGAUAGGUUGGUGAAGAUUAAGUCUGUAGUUGACCCUCAGAAUUUCUUCAACCACAAGCAAAGCAUUCCUCUGCUAUAGAAAUUGACAUGCAUGUAUAAAUUGAUGUUCAAAGUGAAAUAAAUCAUAUUCUUAACAUUGAUUUGCAUGUCGUGAAGUUGACAUGCAUCGGGUUGUUAGUUGCUUGAAUUAAUUAGCAAUCAAGUUAUCUAGUUGUAUCUGUAUUUCUAAUAGUGAUCUGGAUGUUGUGAAGCUAGAGUACUGUUGACUAAAUCUGCAAGCCCAGCCCAUAAAAAAAAUUAGAAAUUUAAAGGUUUCUUUGUUUCCAUAUAUAAUCAGUUAUUUACAGGUCGACAAUUACUUAUAUAUGAUUUAUCAUUUACUUUUUUGUAUAUAUAUGUUGAAUUUUCAUGAUGGAGAAAACCAUGAGGCUGUUCUUGAGCAAAGCUUGCCAAUGUUUCAUUUAGUUUCUUUUACGUACCAGAUAUUUCUGUUUUGGUGCAACUACCGAGAACCUCUCCGUUUCAGAAUGUUGAUCCUAUUUUGUCAUUUUCACAAAUGUGUUUAAUGAUUAGCUAAGUGCAUUUAAUAGGCUUAAUUAGUGUAUGAGACUGACUCUACUCUCUCCGUCUUAAUUUACAUUUUUCUUUUGUUUUUCGAAAAAUCAAAUUAACUAAUUUCUAACUUUCUAAUGAUAUUUUUUAUUAUUAUUUGACUUCUCAGAAAGCAGCAAAAGGAAUAUAUAAAUUAAGAUCAGAGAGUAUUAGGGAUUGCUUUGUCGUCCCUAUCCAACUCUAGUGAUGGGCCUAGCCUGUUAUCAGUCACUGAUGGACUGUUUAUUAAAGUUAUCAUUUUAUGGAUACUUUGAAUUUUGCCCGAAGGAUAAACAUGUUGGGCUGUGUGACUUGAGUCCAAGAAAUCUACAGUUGUUGUGCAUAUCGCACUGUAGUCUGUACAUAUUGCUAAAAUUAAAGAAUAUCACUGUAGUCUGACAAUGUCUCUGUCCCACACAGAUUCUAGGAAACCUGAUCAAAGUCUUACCAUGAAUGCUUGCCAAAUGCCGGACCUUAAAAAUAAGGUAAGACAAACGGGCCUAUAUUCCAGGAAUUUGUUACAGAAGCAUGGACUGCAUAAGAAUCUACUGUAUUGGUAAAGGUCAAUGAGAGUAAUUAACUCGUAGAAUCUUGAAAUUAACAGCACAAAUGUGCAGUAUGGUUGAAACAGAUACUCCCUCUGUCUGUAGAUACUUUUCCUGUUUGUACUUUUCACAUUUGCCAACACACAUUUUUAAUCGUUAAUAUCUUUCAUUUCAUAGUAGCAUUAAAUAUAAAAAUUUUACUGUAUUAAAGUACUUGUUAAUACGAAUCUAACAAGAUCACUCAUGAUUAUAUUUAGUUUUAUAGAUUAAAUGUAAAUUAGUAAUACUGUAUUAAAGUACUUGUUAAUACGAAUCUAACAAGAUCACUCAUGAUUAUAUUUAGUUUUAUAGAUUAAAUGUAAAUUAGUAAUUUGUCUCAUGUUAUAAACAGUACCGACAUCACAAACAGGAAAAGAAAAAAGAAACGGAGGGUGUACUACAUUUGUAUCAAAAUUUAACAACUAGAAUACCUAUCAAGCCUCAAGUUCAAAUACAAUAUCAUCAUUUCAUGUUUGAGAGAUAUCCAAUAAUGUGACAGAAACUUGCUGCCCUUUCCAUCAAAUAAUGAUACAAGACAAGUCUAUUUCUGUGAUAGAGAGAGCACACUGCAGAAUGAGCUUUAUACCUCAAAUAGGCUGCUUCACUUUCUGACAGAAGCUUGUAAGCUUAUUGAGAUUUACAGAUUGCUGAUUUUCUGUAUAUCCAUGCAUUGCCAACUGAAAUUUUGACAAAUCUUAUAUUAUAUAUGGCUAAAGUAAGAUAUGUUUCUUAAAAAAAAUUGAACCACAGUCCACAUAUCAUUAGCUCGGAUAUAACACAACUUGAAAUGCAAGAUUUACCGGCACUGUAUGACCUGUAUUUAUGGGACACAGCUGAGAAAUUCCCAUCAUUUUGCAUCAGUAAGAAUAUAUUCCCUUGGUGUUUAUACGUUUGGUACUUUUUAAGAUUCUUACUUAUAAAAUAUAGUUUUAUAAAUUAUUUUAAAUUUAUUUUUUUUUGAAUAAAAUUAAAAUUUUAAUUAAAAAUAAAUUACCCAUGAAAGUAUAUUGUCUUGCUCUAAGUUAUGUAUCGAUCGAUUUUCUAUCUACCUUAUGUCCUCAUAUAUGAUUAUUGUGUUGCUAAUGCAGCUGGAGGAAUUUGAGCGGGCAGUAAAAUCUGAGUUACAAGAAUAGCACACUCCAAGGCAUUAGACCUGUUAGGUAUAAGUGCUUAUGUGUCACCUACAUGGCAUCUAUGUGGCACAUUUUAGAUAAUAUGUAAAAGUUUCACACUCCAACCAUUACCUCUUAGCAAAAAAAUAUAGAUAACUAAAAUUGGGGUGACUACAUUUGUAAAACCUCUAAAACUAUUAUGUAUAAUUUUAAAUAAUAUAUUAUACAUAACACCAUUGGAGUGAACCUAGAAUCUCUUAGCUAUAAUUUUAGAUAAUUAUCUAUAUAUCAUAUUAUAGCUAACAAAUAUAUAUAACACCUUUGGAGAUGUUCUUGGCGCUAUAAUAGCAAAAAAUGUAUAUUUUCACCAUACUUUCCAUAUAUUUAAAUUCUCUUAUGCUGACUUGGGGCCUUAUUAGAAGCCCGCCUUUCGGCACUAGAGGAGCAAACUCUCCGCGAGGCUGUUGUAUCAUGAUCCACAUGCACACCAUGAUUGCUCAAGUCAAGAUCACUGAACAAAUAUAUCCUUUCACAGACUUAAAAGACAACUCCUCCAAUAUUAUUUUUUGACAGCUACUCAAACCUAUACUCCCUCCGUCCCCCUGAGUUGUAUACAUUAGGGGACGGGGACGCGGCACGGACUUUAAUGCUCCUGCAAAGUGUAGUUGUGCAAUUUAUUUUUAAAAUUUUUCUUUUCUGAAUUAAAGUUUAGAUGUUAUAUUUUUAUAAAGAAAAAGAAAAUCUCAAAAAUAAGUUACGGAACUAUAUUUUAUAAGAGUAUUGAAAUGCGUGUCGAACAGUUAAAAAGAAACGUAUAGAAUUAAAUGGGACAGAGGGAGUAUUUAACAGUGUUCGUGUGUAACAAAACGUAGCUGUUUAUUUGGUAGUAUUCGUUAUAUAAACGAGAAUGACAGCCGAGACAGAUCUGAUGUGAUUAUGUGAACAUAAGCUGUGGGAUAUUAUUCUUGCAAGAAUUCAGGAACUGUCAAGGCUUAUAGUUCGUGGUUCUAGAUGUUUUUUAAAUAAUAAAAAUGUAUCAAGCAAGGUUGAUGAAUUUAGGACAUGUCUGGGCGCAUGACCCAUUUUAAUAUUUCCUUCACAACUAUGAUUAGUGUGCAUCAACGAUAACAAAGCUGUUAAACUUAUAUAAUAAGAUAAGUGCACGAGUAUUUAUUAAAAGGUCAAUUAAUAAAAAUAAUUACAAGUACAAACUUAUAAAUUAUGUAUAUGUUAAAUAGUUGCAAGUAAAAGGUGACGUAUAAAUGAAACAACAACGCUGAUCACCCAGUUCUAGAAGGAGUAAAUUGUAAAAUAUUAGUUUAUAUGUAUAAAAAUGAAGUUUCCACGGCUCAGUGUUUAAUUUACAGAUGAAGCCUUUAUACAGGCCCCUGCAAAUCGCCAUACAUCAACAUAUAUACAGCUGCAAUUAUUCAGAGUGGAAUAUACGGUUGUGAAUAAUUAUUUGUAAGAUAAGUCGAACAUAAAUAAAUAUUGUACAAUUGGAAUAAAAUCUUUAUGAAACGACAUACUGUUGCGAUAAAUUAUUUAUAAAAUAUGUACUCGAACAUAAAUCUUAUACAAGAUAUAGAAAAAUCUUUGUGAAUUAAUAAUUUCUGAACUGCUAAAUUUUAUUAAUUUAUCUAUUUUAUUGAUUAACCAAAACAUGUAAUAGUGCUACUAUAUGUCAAAAUAAAAAAUUAUUAAUUAACCACGAAAUUACUGUAUGUGUAAAACUGGAGUUACUUUCCAGUUUAUAAAUGAUUAGACUUACAUUUCAUAGGCAUCUCUGAUCUCCGUAGACUUUAACCAAGACUUUGAAGCAGUCUAAAUACGGAGACUUUCGUUCUUUCUAGUGAAGAUGUAUAAUAACAACAGCCAAAAUGUGCACAACUUAUUUUUAUUCGUUUUACACCUUUAGCUUCAAACGUUUUAUGACAAAAAGACAAUAUCUAUGAAUGCAUCUAGUUAAACUUCUUGUUGUCAAAAAGAAAAUGACCAAACAUGUUUGGUCUAAACAGCCAAGUUAGCGUGUUAUCUCACAUCGAAAGAUCAACUAAUUAAGCUCCUAUUUCAACGUGGAUGAUUAGUUUCUUAUUUCACCACGAGACACAUGCACAUUACAAUAUUACUACGAUAUAUCUCGCAAAAUCUAUACGUAACGUGUAUAGCAGCUAUAUAUACAUUGAAGCAACUAUCAUUCCAUCUCAUUCAAAAACUAAUAAACAAUACCAACGAACAAUCCUAAUAUUUAAUAUUCCCAGCAAAUAAAAAAUGGUCAAGACUUAUGUUAUAAAACGGACCGAUUUCUUUUUUGUUGAUCAUAGUUGGUCUCGUGUAAUAAACAUCAUUUAGGAUAAUAUAAAUGCCGACUUCUUCAGUGUUUUUUUCCUGAAGAACAUGCUGUGUUAUUCGACUUCGUUUUUCUGGGGCAGCUUCCAUAGAAUGAUAGAAGGAUAUGUUGAACUUGGGUCUGUUUCUUAUUCGGCCACAAUACCUAUAGAUAUUAGAUAAUAGAAAAGAAAACUAGUGUAACAAUAAUUCUAUGCUAAUUCAGUAAUCAUAAUAAUCAAACAACUCUCCAUAUUAAUUAUUGAUUAUUCAUUAAUUUAAUUGUUAAAACAGAAAUAAUAUCAUAAUAAGUAUAUCAUUCCGUAAAUAAAAAAGAUAUCAUAAAAAUAAUUAAUAAUUAAUUAACACCGUAGUCCAUAAAACUGCGUUUAUCAUUCUAUAAUAUGAAGUAGUGCUAGAUAAUUCAGACUUGAUCUCAAUUAUUUUUUUUAAAAAAAAGAUAUGAUGGAUAAAUUAAAAUUUUUAAUUUAUAUACAUAUUACUAAAAUUAGUAUUAGUAUAAAUAAAAUUAAUCCAAAAUCAGUUAGAUAGAAAAUUUUGAAUAUAAUAUUAUGCAAAAGGUCAAAACAUCCCCUCUUUCAAACCGCGUAUAUCCUUCACUUAUUCUCAUCAUUUCUUACCAUUAGCAUUUUAUCUUUAAGGAAUUUACACCCUUCCUCUUCUCUUACAACACAAUCAUUUGUUCGGUAGCGUGCUAUCAUGAAUUCAUGAUGGCUAUGGUAUUUCUAAAGUCUCGAACCAAGUAGACUUUUACUACCGAAGUCUAUUAGAAAAAUAUAAUUUAUAUUAUAAUAUAAAUCUUUUUUGGAAUAGAUAAAAUAAAAAGGUAACAUACAUGUAAAUGUGAGGCGAAAACAAUCAAAUUUGCAGUAGAUGCGCGAUUGUAGACCGAGUUCGUCAACCGCGUAACGAAAUGAUCAAACAAUACAAACCGUUGACUCUAAAUUUAAUCCUUCAUGCUUCAACUUGCUUGUCGUAGAGUUCAUUAGUAUGAUUGCUCCUCUAAUUCACGUAAAUUUCACCAACGAGAUAUUACAGCUAAUUUUUCGUAAAAUCUCAAAUAAAUAUUUGUAUAUCUAGAGCAUAUACCUUUUUUAAACCUGCUCUGCAUCACAUGUGGUAUAUAAAAAUUUGACCCAUAAAAUUAAUUACAUUACUAGUUUCUCAGCAAAUUCUAACAUAGUAAACUAAUAAUUUUAUUUGCUAUAUGUAGAUAUUUAUAUAAUAUAAAUAUUAUUUAUGGGUCAAAAAUUACCGGAAACAAAUUUUAUUAUAAAUAACUCUGUCCAAAAACAUACACACAUCUCUAAUCUAAUAAAAUAUAAAAAACCUCACUUUCAAUUUAACAUUAAUAUAUUAGUACUUUUAUUAUUUGAUGAUUUUGUUAAUUUUAUAAAAGAUAGAUUAAUUAAAAUUAGAAUAUAAUUAACACAACGAUUAAUUAUAAAUUAAAAUUUCAAAAUACAUAAAAUUUCAACAAUUUAUCAAUAGUUACAGAAAAAUCAAAGAUAAAUAUUGCUCAAUUUGAACUUCGAAAUGCACUAAUUAAGCAUUUGUGAGAAAAAUAUAUUAAUUAUAAGAAUUAGUAUUUUAAUGUAAUAUUUUAAUACUUUUAAUUUAUUUUUAUGUACCGUUUUAACUUUUUCGAAUUAUUUUGUAAUACUUUAUCUUUUUCUAGUCGUCAAUUAUAUUAUUAUAAUUAAUGAUGAAAUUAGUUAAUCAUUUUUUAAAAUAUUUAAAAUCAAAGUAUCUGAAUAGUAUAAAGAUGAAUGGAUUUGGAUCACAUUGUUGGAAUAAGAUUUGAAUCCACGUCAUUUGAAUUCUAAAGGUUGGAGUUGGCCAAACUUAAUUAUAAACACUCCUAAUCUAAGCUCCCACGAUUUGACGACUUCUACGCAGCCAUUAUUAUGAAACGAAAUGGUCAUGAGAAUGCAAUUACACGACAUCCAACUUCAUACUUCAAUAAAACAAAUAAUAUCUUCAGUCUUUACCACGAAAGCUAGUCGCCAUUCAUCAACGCUCGGGACUCUAUAAAUACUUAGCUUAGUAUCAAUCAUUUCAUAUCAAAAACAUUUUCAUCCACAACGAUAUAAAGUUAUGGCAACUUCUUCAAUACUUUGUUCUUUUAUUCUUCUUAUUGUUUUCUCAUCCUUUUCUUUGCAAACUUCUGCAUCCUUUUCUCGGCAAACUUCUGGUGAUAGCGCUCAACGUUUCGUUCAAUGUUUAACCAGAUAUGCCAAGAACUCGGAAUCUAUUACUCAAGUUGUUUUCACCCCAGCCAAUGCCUCAUACAAUCCUAUUUUGCAGCUUAACUUGCAAAACCUUCGGUUCAAUACUUCCGGGACGCGUAAACCUCUAGCCAUUGUUACACCAGUUGAGGACACUCAAGUCCAAGCGGUGAUUUACUGUGCUAGAAAAAAUAGCAUGAACGUUCGGACUCGUGGCGGAGGCCACGAUUUCGAAGGUGUUUCGUAUACAGCUGAUGUGCCGUUUGUGUUACUUGAUAUGAUUAAUUAUAAUAGAGUUAAUAUAGACUUGAAAACAAGCACUGCAUGGGUUCAGUCUGGUAUUAGCCUUGGGGAAUUUUACUAUAAAAUUUCUCAAACAAGUGAUGUUCUGGCGUUCCCGGCUGGUUUAGUGUCGACGGUUGGACUUACCGGCCUUCUUGGUGGUGGAGGAUAUGGUAUGAUGAAGAGAAAGUACGCUCUUGCUGCUGAUAAUACACUGGAUGCACGUAUUGUGGAUUACAAUGGGAAAAUUCUCGACAGAAAAUCUAUGGGAGAAGAUCUGUUUUGGGCUAUUAGAGGUGGUGAUCCUGCUAGUUUU